rnacentral:rRNA from 1 species
AAUACUUUGGUGGCGACCGGCGCACGGUGCGUAACGCGUAUGCAACCUACCUUUAACAGGGGCAUAACACUGAGAAAUUGGUACUAAUUCCCCAUAACAUUCGAGAAGGCAUCUUCUUGGGUUAAAAACUCCGGUGGUUAAAGAUGGGCAUGCGUUGUAUUAGCUAGUUGGUGAGGUAACGGCUCACCAAGGCAACGAUACAUAGGGGGACUGAGAGGUUAACCCCCCACAUUGGUACUGAGACACGGACCAA